rnacentral:rRNA from 1 species
GCAACGAGCGCAACCCUUAUGCUUAGUUGCCAGCAGGUCAAGCUGGGCACUCUAAGCAGACUGCCGGUGACAAACCGGAGGAAGGUGGGGGAUGACGUCAAAUCAUCAUGCCCCUUAUGACCUGGGCUACACACGUACUACAAUGGCCGGUACAACGGGAAGCGAAAUCGCGAGGUGGAGCCAAUCCUAGAAAAGCCGGUCUCAGUUCGGAUUGUAGGCUGCAACUCGCCUACAUGAAGUCGGAAUUGCUAGUAAUCGCGGAUCAGCAUGCCGCGGUGAAUACGUUCCCGGGUCUUGUACACACCGCCCGUCACACCACGAGAGUUUACAACACCCGAAGUCGGUGGGGUAACCCGCAAGGGAGCCAGCC